rnacentral:rRNA from 1 species
UACGUAGGGUGCAAGCGUUGUCCGGAAUUAUUGGGCGUAAAGAGCUCGUAGGCGGUUUGUCGCGUCUGCUGUGAAAACCCGAGGCUCAACCUCGGGCCUGCAGUGGGUACGGGCAGACUAGAGUGCGGUAGGGGAGAUUGGAAUUCCUGGUGUAGCGGUGGAAUGCGCAGAUAAUCAGGAGGAACACCGGUGGCGAAGGCGGGUCUCUGGGCAACAACUGACGCUGAGGAGCGAAAGCGUGGGGAGCGAACAGG